CAUACAUUUUUUUAUUCCUAUAACUGCAUCCCUGGCUAGGUGUGUGUAUGUGUGCAUUUUAUGUAUGUUUAUACAUGGUUGUGCAUCUAUGCACAUGUAGUACUUGAUGCAUUUACAUUUUUUUUUCAAGUUUAGCGAAGGGUUUAAGCAAAAUGCUAAGUGUCUGCGGACAGAGAAAUGUGCCAAAGAGCAUACCUUAUCAGAAGAGAUUAUGCUGCCAACUCCUGUGCUACUGAGUUCCCCCCCAACCACCCCCGUCCACAUUCCCAGAGUUUUCUACAGAGCAGAGUUCUGGCCUUGGACAUAUUGGUCCAAUUCCUUCCACAGUUGGAUUCAUUGAGUGCCUACUGUUUACUUAGCAUGGAACCAGGCACUGGAGAUCCAAACAGGCAAAAUAUCAAAAAAUCCUGCUCUCUACAUUUUUAUCAGCAAUUAAAAUAGAUAAGUAUUCCUUGAGACUCUUUUUGGGGUCCACCAUAGCACAGAAGGGAUAUAUAUCACUACAAAGUGUAUAGUUGUUUCCCACAAGAGAGAAAGGAGACCAUGCAUUUUCACAAACACCGUCAUCUGCCUUGGGGGGUGGGGGGGACACAGUGAAGUGAGUUAAGGGCUAGGAGCUACAGCUCAUUGGGUUGAUAGAUAUGAAAGCUUGCUUCCUACGUCGGCAGGGUUGAGGGUGUUUCCACAGAAGACAGAGUGAGCAAAGGUUGUGGAAUGGAAGAACGAUUUGUCUGGGGUGCCAAAGACAGUCUGGAAGUAAUGUUAGAAGCAAAUACUAUGAGAGGCUUUGGCCCUGUGCACUUAUCUGUAGAUAAAUGGGCAGCCACUCGAAGUUACAGGGCUUGUUCGUUUAUCUUUAAGAUUACGGUUAGAAAGAUGGUCCGAUUGGAAAGAGAUAAUAAGGAAAACCGUACAGGAAGUUACUGAAAUAAAUCUCUGCAGCCAAGUCCCGCGAGAGUGAAAGGCAUUGAAAAUGAAGACAGCCAGGGGAUUAGAGUUACAUUUCAAUAGUAGACGGUUCAAGAGCUGGCAAAAGAUCGAAUUUAAUUUUCCUCCCUAAUUAUGUUUUACUUAAAUUAUUAUUUAAAUUAGUUUGGCAUUCUUGGAGCAACCGAACAACACUGUAACUGAGAGAAGCCAGAUUGCAAAUUAAAAGUGAAUAAUCCCCACAUGGAUAAUUGAGUCAAUUAUACAGUAUGUUGAACACAUACAAAUACAUUUAGCUCCACAACACUCUGCACACUUCCCCAAUUUAUGCAUAUCUGAAAAAGAUUGUGUGUGAGCCUACAUAAUUGUGGGUGUGUGGUCCAAACAUAGACUGCCUUACCUGGCAUAAUAACUUUAGAGAGGAUCCAAUUUCUCCUCAGCCUUUAAAACAUUCUCCUUGUGUCUUGAUUCAUUGCUGAAGUCAAGUCGCUAAUUAACUAAAAAUUGUUUCAAACCCCUUGUGAAUGUCAGCCCUUCCGUGGCUGUCUUCCGUGGCUGGAGCUUUAGUAAAGGAGACGCAAAUCCGGACUCAGUGUAACCUCACACACCUCCCUGUGCCUGACAAGAAAUGUGGAGAGGAUGAUGUCUGCUUCCCUGGGCCGUGGUGAGGACUAAGUCCUUUCCUAGGGUGGUGACUGAAUCACCAGGAAUGCUCCAGCGGCAUUGUCUGAAAGAGAUCAAGCAUUAGUACUGUGAGUGCCAGAAAGGGCCUGUGAGCCCAGUGAAGGUCUGGAAGCCUCCUGAGAGUUUCCGCACAAUUCUUAGAUGAAGAGAGAUUCGAGGGAAACAAGCAGAACAGAACUCCACAAGAGCACAAAGUCCUCAGAACAUGCAGCCCUGAGGCAAACCCACCCUGGCUGUGCUAGCCGGUGGCCACAUUCUAAAGCCAUUUGUCAUUCUUCCUGCACAGCCCUCAGCAACUUUGUCAGGUGCGUGAAGCCAAGGACCAGUGUGGCAGAAUCUGCUCCACAUGGCUCAUCCUAGACCGAGGACAAACACAAACCUCCUAUAGAGCAUCUCUCAGAAGCCAGUCUUUAAUGUCCUCCUUCCAUCCUAACACUGAGUGCCCCCUGCCCCCGACACCAACACUCCGUCAUAGCUGGCAGCCCUGUUUUAGCUGUAGUUGGCACUUAGCUCAUAGGUGUGGGAGACUCGAUUGGGAUUGUAAGCAAAGAACACUUUUGUAGGUUGUAAACAUGUCACUGUGCAGUCCAGAAUCUCUCCCCAGACUCUAAAGGGCAUAAUGUUUUUAGACUGUGCAUUUUGGCUCAUGAGUUGGUUGUAUAAAUAUUCCUGUUUGGGUGAGAUGCUUGAGAAAUAAGGACUGCUUGAACACAGCCUGCUCUCUGAGGAUUUGCAUAAUGUGUGUCGAUGUGCAAAGAAGACCAAAUGCCUAGAAAAGGAAAAGAAAAAGAAUAGGGUCAAAGCCACAGACUAUGUUUGCCAGUCCAAACCUCAUCUGCGUUCACUUACCGUCAUCAUAUACAUGGUAGGGUCGAAGGCAGGAUACAAACCUUAAUUAAAAUGAAGAACAAAUAUACUCUGUGAUACAAAAAUUGAUCUCCUUCUGAUCUAUGCUCCAGCUGGAAGUUGAAAAAAAAUGUGGAAUUUUCACCUCUCUCCAUUUUUCAUUUGCACCUAGUUUCCUCAAUUCCACCUCCCAGAGGCCACUGCCGUUUACAGGGCUGAUGUUCGCACAUAGGAUGUGUGAAAACCUGACUGGUUUCUUCAGUAAUUUUCACCUAUGAACGCCAUUUGAAAGGGAUUAGAUGGUGCUUCCCACGUAGACGUGAUAGAGUGCUUUUUAUCCACUAACUGGUGAAGAAAAUGGAAACUAGUAAAUGUCACUAGCAGCCAUCAGGAAAGCUAACAGCUGUAGUGGAGAAAAGCUUUGCUUGAUACGCUAUGAAAAGAGCCACAGCAGAGUUGGAUGUUACAUGUGCACCCCGAGUGUCUGAAAUGGCGCUGGGAAGGGAAGGUGCUCAAAAGAAGCCUGGGGUACCCCCAGUUUGGACAGGAGUGGAACUGGAAGUCAAUGGUUAGCCAAGGAAGAAUCAUGGAAAAAUCCUUGGAGAACAAGGGUCUCCGAGGGCUGAUACAGGUCAUGGCUGAGGCUAGAGUGGUCCAGGGGCUACUCUUUCAAUGCUGUUGAUUGAACAGUAAACAGAAACAGUAAGACAGGGGGGAAAGUUACACCUUAUUAUUCCAUGCAAUAAACAGGGAGUUGGCAAAUGUAAAAA